rnacentral:lncRNA from 1 species
UUUGUCCAAAUUCUCCCUGCCCUUCCUAGAGUGGCUGCGGGCUUUGUUGUUGUUGUUUGUUUGUCUUUUUUCUUUCCCCCUCCGAUGAUGUGGGCCAUCUCUUUUCCAAAGUAAGAAAACAUCGGCCACCAAAAGUGACCAAGGUGCCUGCUGCCCUCAGUCUUCCCCAGACAGGUCAGAAACCUAUCACUCUUCCUUUAGCCAAUGGAAACCAUCCAUGUCCACUCUGCAAGCUUUUCUUCCUUAGACAUUUUCCUUUUAGUAAGUUUCAGGAUACUGGGGGGGGGGGGGGUGUGGAGGGGGUGGAGAGGGGAAGGAAAGAAGGAAGGAAAAGAAAAAAGAAGGGCUUUGUCACAGAACCCUGGAGGGAUAAGGAACGAGGAGCUGAGGCCGCUGUCAUUACUAAUGAAGACAGUGGCAACUGGCCCCUGACAGCAAGAACACGCGUGUGAACUUUCACAUUUAAUCUCUCACCUCAGCUGCAAGGCCAC